rnacentral:rRNA from 1 species
CCUACGGGAGGCAGCAGUGGGGAAUAUUGCACAAUGGGGGAAACCCUGAUGCAGCGACGCCGCGUGAGUGAAGAAGUAUUUCGGUACGUAAAGCUCUAUCAGCAGGGAAGAAAAUGACGGUACCUGACUAAGAAGCCCGGGCUAACUACGUGCCAGCAGCCGCGGUAAUACGUAGGGGGCAAGCGUUAUCCGGAUUUACUGGGUGUAAAGGGAGCGUAGACGGCAGCGCAAGUCUGGAGUGAAAUCCCAUGGCUUAACCAUGGAACUGCUUUGGAAACUGUGCAGCUAGAGUGCAGGAGAGGUAAGCGGAAUUCCUAGUGUAGCGGUGAAAUGCGUAGAUAUUAGGAGGAACACCAGUGGCGAAGGCGGCUUACUGGACUGUAACUGACGUUGAGGCUCGAAAGCGUGGGGAGCAAACAGGAUUAGAUACCCUAGUAGUC